GGAGGGUCGGGUAACGGCUUUCCAGAAUUCAAAAAUUCAAAUUGGCGGCUGCUGUGUGUGCUUGAAAGGGUCGAGGGGGGGCGGGGCGGUGGUGCCCCUCCCAGGAACCACCACUGGAUCUGAAAAGAGUCCAGCAGGUUUCCACUGAGCUGCCUGCCCGCAGGGGGAGCGGGUGUCACUCCUGCUCUUGGAGGGCUAAAGCCUGAGGUGUGAGAGGAGGGAGCUGGGACCACCAUCUCUGCUUUCUUAGAAGGGCCCAACCCUGAGAGGAGGAUCCGGAGCGGCCUGUAGAAGACGGUCCUGGCCUGGAGCACUCCUGUGGGCGGCUGGCUUGCUAAGGCUAGAUUUAUGACUUUCAAGGAUGAGGGCUUUUUACCUGGUUGCUCUUGAAGUGACGCAUUGAAUAAUUUUGUGUGAUUACAAACUGUAAUAACUGUGGGGUAUGGAAAUAUUCCAGAGGGGAUCCUGAGAGGCCAGCAGAAGAUGGUCCCUGCUUGGAGGGCUCCUGUGGGCGGCUUGUUUGCUAAGCCUGGAUAUUCUUCAUUUCACUUUACUCGCAAAUAAACAAGCCAGCAACAACCACAACAAAGCCUCCCUUUGAGACACACAGGAGGCGGAACAAGUUUUGAAUUCAAGGGACUGAAAGGAAACAAGUGGCACAGAAGUCAAGGGAAUCUACACCACCAGGUUCAACAGAGGCAGCCGUGACCAUCGGGCCUCUGGGGAAGAGAGCUGGCCUUGUGGGUACAAGCAUGAAUGGCCCCCUUUGCUAAGUGGGGUCUGCCUUGGUUUGCAUUUGGAUGGAAGACUACAUGUGUGAGCACUGGAAGAAGUUCCCCUGAGGGGAUGGGGCCAAAGCUGAGGGGAAGAGCUCCUGCCUGCUUGUAUGCAGAAGAUCUCCACGGACUCCCUGGCAUCUCCAGGUAGGGCUGGGAGAGACCCCUGCCUGCGAUCUUCCAUCUCUUCUGCCUGUCAGGAGGAGGUGAGUCCAGCAAGAACACCGGCUCUUUGAAAGGCAGUCCACACACCAUGCCAGUGGGAUCAAUCAAUUCAAAUUUAAUACUAAGCAAACAACAAGAAGCACCAAAGCAACUAACUACAAGACGAGCAACAGAUCCCUGCAAUGCUGCACAGCUAUAAAGAAGAAGAAGAAAGAAUCCAAAGUAGCAGUCUCCCCAGAGAGAAGACUUGCUGUCCUGUCCAAGACUGCACGGCAGGGUCCUCUGGGUCUGGUGGUCAAGGAAAACCCAGGCCGCCCUGUGAUGCUCCGCCUCCCUGCUGAAAGAGUGACGAGGUUCAAGCCGGAGCCUUGCCUGGAUCCAGCUGCAGAGUGUGGGGAGAGGCGGAGAAGGCAGAACAGUGAGUGGGCUGUCUUUCCAGCCGGGCCACCACCCUGGCCCCACAAUCCCCUGCAAACUGGGGCACCUCUUCACCUCCAGCAUCCUGAGCAGGGGUCUCCUCCAAUGGCCCCGGCUUGGUGCUUUCUCCCACUGGCGGCAGUGAGGGAGUGGGGCAGAUGGCGGGGGCGAGGGUUCUCUGGAGACUCUGGCCCACGAGAGCUCUUCUGGAGAUCCUGAACCCGGGAGGAAGAGCACCAGAGGAUGCUAGAGCCAAGCCAGGGAGGAAGGGGGACCUAAUCGCCAGGUUGCGGAGGAAAAGGCCAGCUUUCCCUGCCACCUCCCACUCAUCCUGACUAUACAUCUGCACGUCAAUAGCCUGGAAGAGGAAACAGGCAAGAUCCUCACCCCGGUAGCCCCUCGCUUGACUGCAGUCAGCUGGGCCCCAAGACGGAGAGGAACCUAGAGGGGGGCUUCUCUUCAGUGUUUCUGCAGCAGCCUCACAAAUGAAGCUUCCCCCAAUGUCCUCUGAGUAUCCAAUGGGCCCCCCCUCUGGGUCAGGAGAGGAAGAGGGCAUCAUUGGGGUGAGGGCCCAUCUGUGGACUGCCCUUCCCUGGCUGCUCAAAGGGGGAGGCAGCGCCUCAGGGAGUUGCAUGUGUGAACGCUGCCCAUGGCAUGGUGUUGGGGAGCUGAGGCCUCUCCCACUGACUUGCCCAACCCUACCAGGGCAGGGCAGGGCAGGGCAGGGCACGGCAGGGGACCCCAGGUCUUGACACCCACUGGGCCAGGGGAUCCUCUCCCCUUGGCUGGAAGAGGCCACCCUCUCUCCCACUUACUUCUGCCAUGUGGAUGAGGUGUGUCAUCGAGGGCUUCUGUGCCAGCAGUUCCCUCAGCAUGGCCUGGAGGACCUUUUCGGGGGGCAGAAAAGGGCUCUGCAAGGGAGAAAGGGAGCUAGAGUGUGGAUUCCCAGCCCCUCCUCAGGGAGGGGGAAAGGUUCCUCUGGGCUUCCCAAGAGCCCUGGCUGUCCUUUCCGCUCAUGGGGGCUCAAGGCGCCUAUCUCCAUCGGGGAGCUAAGCAGGCCCCCCACUGAUGUAGCACAGGCCCAGAGAGAGUCUUUGCCUAGGUGGGCAGGGGUGGGUGGAAGGAGCUCUGUAAAUAUCUACCUGCUGAUCUGCCUCUGGAGUAUCACCCAGCACGUGGCCCAUGGUGAAGAGACACUCCAUGAUCACCUUCCUCUCUCUAUAGGCCGUGAAGCAGGGCUUCAUCUGGCUGCCAAGAGAAAAGGGGAACGAUGAGAAAGUCAGCUGGAGCGGGGGGAGUGAAUGUCAUCAAGAACCUGGCACCGGAGAAGAAAGGUCUCACCCUCUCCCCCAGCCAGGUCCCUGAUCCGAGGAUUCCCCAGGACUCCAGGCAGAUGUCGUGAAUCUGUUAGUUCUGCUAACCCAACAGGAUUUUACAACCCCCUUCAGCACACCCCCUGAGAGUAAACAGAAAACAGCAGCGAAACGGAAUGAAGGAAAAUAAAAGGCUCAAAAAGAAAA